GCAUUGGUGAUGGAAAUAAAUUUGUUGCAAUGAAUUACAAUUCAUAAACAAACGUUUCCUGAUGUGGUAAAAUGGUUUUACCAAGUUUUCUUCCUUAUAGUCAACGAUGCUAAGCAAAAUGAAAACAAGCCCAUCAGAUUAAGGAAGUCCAAUCCUACUCAUUGUUCCUUAUUGUAGAUAGUGUUGUAAGUACAUUUUCCACAUGUAUGUAAAUAGUAUGGCAUAUCAUAUAUACAUUUAAAACUUUCUACA